GCUCAACCGGGGAGGGUCAUUGGAAACUGGGGAACUUGAGUGCAGAAGAGGAGAGUGGAAUUCCACGUGUAGCGGUGAAAUGCGUAGAGAUGUGGAGGAACACCAGUGGCGAAGGCGACUCUCUGGUCUGCAACUGACGCUGAGGCGCGAAAGCGUGGGGAGCGAACAGGAUUAGAUACCCUGGUAGUCCACGCCGUAAACGAUGAGUGCUAAGUGUUAGAGGGUUUCCGCCCUUUAGUGCUGCAGCAAACGCAUUAAGCACUCCGCCUGGGGAGUACGGUCGCAAGACUGAAACUCAAAGGAAUUGACGGGGGCCCGCACAAGCGGUGGAGCAUGUGGUGUAAUUCGAAGCAACGCGAAGAACCUUACCAGGUCUUGACAUCCUUUGACAACCCUAGAGAUAGGGCUUCCCCUUCGGGGGCAGAGUGACAGGUGGUGCAUGGUUGUCGUCAGCUCGUGUCGUGAGAUGUUGGGUUAAGUCCCGCAACGAGCGCAACCCUUGAUCUUAGUUGCCAGCAUUCAGUUGGGCACUCUAAGGUGACUGCCGGUGACAAACCGGAGGAAGGUGGGGAUGACGUCAAAUCAUCAUGCCCCUUAUGACCUGGGCUACACACGUGCUACAAUGGGCAGAACAAAG
rnacentral:rRNA from 1 species